UAGCUAACUAAAUUAAGAUGCCACCCAUCUUGAAUUAUAUCUUAAAAUUAUUAAGUGCUGCUUCCAGUUUUUUGGAUUAAUAAAAUGUUAGGUUAUUAGGUUGAAUUCAGCUUCCUACCCAUUAUUCUUCUUUCAAGCAUGUUGAAUUAUUAUUUUAAGAAAUUUGAUCUUUUUAUUACUGUCCAUGGCCAAUUAUACUUUGACUUAGAAUAAAGUAGAUUAUUAUUAUAUUUAAGAACCUCAAACUUGAAGGAACAUAAUGGAUAAAAGGAGUAAUUUCUGAUGCUGUUAAUUUAAACUGAAACAGAUGUCACUUCACUGCUAACAAACCCACCUCCUGCCAAACUAAA
rnacentral:lncRNA from 1 species